rnacentral:rRNA from 1 species
GACGAACGCUGGCGGCGUGCCUAAUACAUGCAAGUCGAACGCUUCUUUUCCCACCGGAGCUUGCUCCACCGGGAAAAGAGGAGUGGCGAACGGGUGAGUAACACGUGGGUAACCUGCCCAUCAGAAGGGGAUAACACUUGGAAACAGGUGCUAAUACCGUAUAACAAUCGAAACCGCAUGGUUUCGUUUUGAAAGGCGCUUUACGGUGCCGCUGAUGGAUGGACCCGCGGUGCAUUAGCUAGUUGGUGAGGUAACGGCUCACCAAGGCCACGAUGCAGAGCCGACCUGAGAGGGGGAUCGGCCACAUUGGGACUGAGACACGGCCCAAACUCCUACGGGAGGCAGCAGUAGGGAAUCUUCGGCAAUGGACGAAAGUCUGACCGAGCAACGCCGCGUGAGUGAAGAAGGUUUUCGGAUCGUAAAACUCUGUUGUUAGAGAAGAACAAGGGUGAGAGUAACUGUUCACCCCUUGACGGUAUCUAACCAGAAAGCCACGGCUAACUACGUGCCAGCCGCCGCGGUAA